CGUACCUAGGACAGUUGUUUUACAGUUACAGUGAGUUUAGUUUUGUACACCCACCGACUUUCAGGAUUCAUUGUAAUUGUUUGAGCUCUGGAUUUGGAUGCAGAGCACCGUGGGAUGAUUGAUUGAACCGAAGUAGUCUUUCUUCAGGUAUAUACUCUGCAAGACUCGACAACAGCAAACAUGUCCUAUGAUGCUACUCACAGCAAACUCGAAAGGUUCUUUGAC
rnacentral:lncRNA from 1 species